AAUUCUAGAGCUAAUACAUGCAGCAAGUUCUGGUUCCUUGUGAACAGAACGCAGUUAUUAGAUCAAAAACCAAUCGACUUUGCUUUCGGGCUUGGUCGCUCUUUUGGUGAAACUGAGUAACCACAGCAAACCGCAUGGCCUCGUGCUCGGCGGUCUGUCGGUCAAGUAACUGCCUUAUCAGCUUGUUGUUAGGUUACAUGCCUAACAAGGCGUCAACGGGUAACGAACGAUCGGGGUCGGACAUCGGAGAGGGAGCCUGAGAAACGGCUACCACUUCCAAGGAAGGCAGCAGGCGCGCAAAUUACCCACUCCCGGCACGGGGAGGUAGUGACGAAGCGUAUCGAUGCGGGGCCAUUAGUGCCUUCGUAAUCGGAAUGAGUACACUUUAAAUCCUUUAACGAGGACCUAUUGGAGGGCAAGUCUGGUGCCAGCAGCCGCGGUAAUUCCAGCUCCAAUAUCUUAUAUUAAUGCUGCUGCGGUUAAAAAGCUCGUAGUCGGAUCUGGGUUUUCGCGGGCACCAUAUGCAGCCUCGUGUUGUAUAUGUGUGUUAUACGUACUGCUUCGGCAGUGCUGCCAGUCUAGUUCUGACUCUUAGUAGGCAAGCUAGGCUGGUCGGCGGAACCACGGGCCAAGCCGGGCGGUAUGCUCUUUACUGAGUGUACUGUCUGCUUGGUGCGUUUACUUUGAAAAAAUUGGAGUGCUCAAAGCAAGCGUACAGUCGCUAUGCGGCCGGAACAGUGGUGCAUGGAAUAAUGGAAUAGGACCUCGGUUCUAUUUUGUUGGUUUUAAGAAUUCGAGGUAAUGAUUAAGAGGGACAGACGGGGACAUUUGUAUUGCGACGUUAGAGGUGAAAUUCUUGGAUCGUCGCAAGAC
rnacentral:rRNA from 1 species